AACGCAACUUGCGCCCCUUUGGGGCAUGUCUGUUUGAGAACCGCAUCUAUCUAACCCCUUGGGGUUGAAACUGUGCCAAGCUGCGCAAGCGGCUGGUGCGAAAUGCAGCAUGUAGGGGCAGAAAGGCCGAUCGUGUGCUGGAGACUUUGGUCUUGUCACGACGCGGCGCGUAUGCUCUUUGUUUUUUGUGUUUUGUAUAUUUUUUAUGUAUGAUGAUGAUUAUAUGAUUUUAUAUUAGUAUAAUUUUGUACAAGUAUAAUUUUAUAUUAGUAUAAUUUUAUACGAUUAUACAUACAUACAUAUACACAAUAACAAUACAAAAUAACAAAUAACACUACAAAAAUGGUCUCAAAUCAGGCAAGACUACCCGCUGAACUUAA
rnacentral:misc_RNA from 1 species